UGACGAACAUAUGUCAUUGCAUCUUGUGC
rnacentral:sRNA from 1 species